rnacentral:rRNA from 1 species
UACGUAGGGGCUAGCGUUGUCCGGAUUUAUUGGGCGUAAAGAGCUCGUAGGUGGUUCGGUUAGUCGGAUGUGAAAUCUCCAGGCCUCAACCUGGGAGGGGUCAUUCGAUACUGCCGUGACUAGAGGUUCGGUAGAGGAGUGUGGAAUUCCUGGUGGAGCGGUGAAAUGCGCAGAGAUCAGGAGGAACACCCGUAGCGAAGGCGGCACUCUGGGCCGAUACUGACACUGAGGAGCGAAAGCGUGGGGAGCGAACAGG